GUUAUAAUCACUAAUUUUACAUUUUUUUUUUGUUUUUUGUUUUUACAUUAUUUUUCAAAAAUUCAUACAUAGGAACAGAAUAUUAAUUUUUGUUUUAACAACUUACAACAGUGCGUCAACUACUAAAAUAAGUGCAUUGACACGUAAUAUAAUUUGUAUAUAUAUAAAUAUAAUAUAUUACUUAUAUAUUAGUCGUAACUUGAAUAUUAUAUAAUAUAUUACUUAUAUAUUAAUCGAAUUUAAUGUCAUUAUUGUUUAUGAUAUACAAUUUGUAUCAGGUAGUAGUAGUUCUAUAUAUAUAUAUAUAUAUGUAUAUUGAUUACAGAAUUUUAAUUAGUUGGGGAGUUAAUUAUGUAAUUGUAUGCAUGUAUGUAUGUAUUAUAAAUAUAAGUAUACUAAAACGACUAAGCAAAUUGGCACAUAAAAAUUAUUUUAAAAGUAUAGGUAUAACUAUACAAUAUUAUUAUUUAGUUUUAUUAAAAGUAGGCGAUUAGUAAACAAUUUGUAAAAUUCUAUUCGUUUAUUAUAAAUUUUUAAAAUAAAUUUUUUUAGCCUUCGCCAAUAAUUUUUGGAUAGAACAUUACUCUAAGUAAAUAUUAUUGAAAUUUAGUUUCAAAAACAAAAUCUAAUUAUUGAGCGGGUUUUUAAAAAUUGAAUGUACUUAUAUAAUAUUAUAAUAAGUAAGUAUAGUAGAAUAAUCCAAUAGACAAUCGUUUUUAAAUUUUGUUCAUUACUAUUGAACUUGUAAUAAACGUGUAAUUGUAAAGUCGUUAUUGAAAUAUAAUUUAAAAUUGUACUGCACACUAUUUCAUGGGGGUAGAUAUUCGCGUCUAAUAAAAAUUAACAUUGAACAGUCGAACGAUUUUAUGACAUCGAAUUUUCGUUUUAUCAUUUUCGGGUAUAAUAUUACGACUCAAUUAUUGAAUUAUUAUAAUUCAAGCCGAAUAGCAUAAUUGUUUUUAUUUAAUCCAUACUGCAGGCCAAAGCGUUUAAUAAAAACAGGCCAAUCGCGAACGCGUGUAUAUUUUAUGCUUACCGAUAGAAUAAAUUCGUACCGUGUCGGAAUUUUAGAAGGGGAAGGGGGGAGGGGAGUUAAGUAGACGGAGAGAAUAGUCUUGAAAAAAGAAAAUUGAAUUAAAAGCAUACUCGGGUGAUUUAACGUAGUUGCAGUUUUAGAGGCGCGUUAUAACAAUAUUAAUUGAAUUAAAAUAUCGAAUUUAAAUGAAAUUUUAUACAAAUCUUAUCACUAAUAAAUGUAAACAUAAUAAUAUGCUAUCCAUAUAAUAGCGUCUUUAAUAGAGUUUUAAUAAUAAUAAAAUAUGUAAUUGUAAUGUAUUAAUAUUUAUUCUUUAUUCAUAAUCCAAUACGAUGCGCAUUAUAAUGUAUACCGAAAGUCAUAAAUCGAAAAGAUAGACUACCGGAAACUGGCGUAGCUAUUUAUAAAUAUAUUAUAUACUUAAUUAUUUUUAGGCAUGUCAAAUUUCAACAAUAUUUUCAAACUAUAAAGUCUAUUAAAAAAAAAAUAACAAAAAAACAAAAAACAAAAAAAAGAAUGACAAUGGCACUAUAAACACCUAUUUAUAUCUAAACCUAAAACUACCUAUACCUAUAAUAUUAUGUACAUUUAUAAUCGGUCGGGGGUAACUGUUUUAUUUUAUAAGAUUAUGUACAGUCGUUACCCGCGAAAUUGUUCCAAGGUUUUUUUUUAUAAUAUUAUCACGUGAAGUAGAACGUCGUCGAUCGUUUCGUACUCAGUUUUAUUUUGUUUUUAAACGAUAUAAGUCGAGUUUGUCCGUCAUUUGCCUCGGACAUUAUUAACAACAACAAUAAUAAUAAUAAUAAUAACAGUAAUAAUAGAGAUUAUAAUAUAAUAUUAUGAUAAUAAUAAAUUAAUAAUUGACUUACAAAAAAAUAUUAAAAACGAAAAAACAAAAUUAUAGUCACUAUGUCCACGAACAGAACUAUUCCGACGGCUAAUAUAGUAUUAUAAUUGAUUAAUUGUUAUUAUACUGAAGCUGCACGGAUUUUACGUAGCGAAACCGUUUAGUAAAAUAUUAUUAAUAUAAUGUUAUAAUAUUAUAGUAUAUAUUAAUUUUGUGUGACAAAUAAAAUCAAUAGUAUUAUCAAUGGUUUUUAAGAGAAAAAAAAACCGAAUAUAAUAUACUAAAAUUUGUUGUGGUAAGUAAUUAUUAGUAUUAAGUAUAUAUAACAGCGUUAUUAUUAUUAUCAUAAAUUUAACGACAAUACCUAUAUUAUUAGAAUUAUCAUUGACGGUGUAAUAGUAUUGUACGUAAUUAUUAACAACAAUUAACAAUAUAAUUUAUACGUAUUAAAUUUACUAAUAUUAUAUACGGGGCUACCAAAUUGUGUAUGGGUAACAAACUUUUUAGGAUUUUUUUUUCCCCCGACACAACAUAUUAUAUAACUUGCGUUUAAAUGAAAUUGCGGGCAUAAAGAUAGAUUUUUAGCCCGAACAUAUGCAUAAAAAUGUACAGGCCGAAAGCCCUUAAACUGACGAAAACCGAGAUGGUUCAAACUAUAGUAAUAAUAUACAUAAUUAAUAACAUUAUCUAAGAAUAUACGGUGGCUAUAUCUAUAUAAUUAUACGGUUUCACUAAAAUCUUUCACAGUAAAAUAUAACUAAUAAUAUAAUAAUUUUAUAGCGAUUAUAUACCGCAAAACUUCACGUGAUUUUUCGAUUGCAAUAAUUUUCCGUUUUCCAUGAUUUUUAAAUCGAUUUAUUAUUAUUAAAAUGAUAUCGGCAUUUAGCCGGUAAUGUUCCAUAUUGAAUAAUUAUUUUCGAGAUAUGUUAAUUUAAUAAAAUGUAUACAAGGAGUUCGAUUGAUUUACAUCGAAAAUAAAUUUUAUUCGAUCAAUUUUUUAUCGAUCCGAUAAAAUAAUAUACUUAAGUAGGCGGAUACGGAUAAUGUUUAUUGCAAUAUUUAAAUCGACGAAGUUAUACAUAGGUAUAUAGGUACGCUGCGCAUAAUAUAUAAUGAAAUUAUUAUAAAUAUAAAACAAAAACGAACACAACAAUAUAAUUUCGUUUUAAAACAGCUGAUACUUAUCGCGUUAGUUCCUUUACACUAAAUAACUAUAAUUAUAAAUAUUUAUAUGAAAAAAAAGCAUACUUUUAGAUAUAAUAAGACACUUCGAUGCCGUAUAUAACUCAUAAUAUUAUAAGUUAUAUUUGUUUAACGUAAUAUCGUAACGAUAUAUAAUAUAAGGAAAUCGAUUAUAUUAUAUACUUAGAGAUAUAUAUUAUAAUAUAUACUUAACGGGUUAAGAUUUAUAUCAAUCAUAUAGGUAAUAUAAUAAUAAUAUAAUAUAAUAUUAUACUUAUAAUAAUAUUUUGUUCGUUAACGAUUAGUUUUAAACUAUAUAAUAUAAUAAUUGCUAUAUAAUACAUAAUAAUAUAAUGUAUAUAUAUAUAUAACGAAAUAAAUAAUAAUAAUAUUCAAUUACAACUUUGCGUUAAAAUAUAAUUAUCUAAAACGGAGAACGGAAAAAAAAUUAUACAUCUAUGCCACGAAAAAAAAAAAAAAAAACGAAAAUACAUAAAAGAACAACAA